rnacentral:pre_miRNA from 1 species
GGGGGAAGGCCGGAUCCUGGGCUGUGUCCUGGCGCCCAAUGCUCCCAGGCCUGCGCUGUUGGAUUCGUGCUCUGGCGGCGCAGCCCGCU